AUGAACGCUGGCGGCGUGCCUAAUACCUGCAAGUCGAGCGCAUGGACGAGAAGCUUGCUUUUCUGAUGUUAGCGGCGGACGGGUGAGUAACACGUGGAUAACCUACCUAUAAGACUGGGAUAACUUCGGGAAACCGGAGCUAAUACCGGAUAAUAUUUUGAACCGCAUGGUUCAAAAGUGAAAGACGGUCUUGCUGUCACUUAUAGGUGGAUCCGCGCUGCAUUAGCUAGUUGGUAAGGUAACGGCUUACCAAGGCAACGAUGCAUAGCCGACCUGAGAGGGUGAUCGGCCACACUGGAACUGAGACACGGUCCAGACUCCUACGGGAGGCAGCAGUAGGGAAUCUUCCGCAAUGGGCGAAAGCCUGACGGAGCAACGCCGCGUGAGUGAUGAAGGUCUUCGGAUCGUAAAACUCUGUUAUUAGGGAAGAACAUAUGUGUAAGUAACUGUGCACAUCUUGACGGUACCUAAUCAGAAAGCCACGGCUAACUACGUG
rnacentral:rRNA from 1 species